AGGAAUCCGACUGGGUCGACCUUAGAACACGUGAUUGUUUUUUGAUUUCGAUAUGGUUCGUUUCAUGUGUUCUCAGGUCGCCCCUGUCGGGUUUCC
rnacentral:pre_miRNA from 1 species